UACGGCCGCAUCAUGUUGAAACACCGGUUCUCUUACGAUUACCGAAGUUAAGCAAUGUCGAGCCUGGUUCGUACGUAGAUGGGUAACUGCUUAGAAAUACCAGGUGCUGUA